rnacentral:rRNA from 2 species
UUGAUCCCUGGCUCAGGACGAACGCUGGCGGCGUGCUUAACACAUGCAAGUCGAGCGGUAAGGCCCUUCGGGGUACACGAGCGGCGAACGGGUGAGUAACACGUGGGUGAUCUGCCCUGCACUUCGGGAUAAGCCUGGGAAACUGGGUCUAAUACCGGAUAUGACCAAAGGCUGCAUGGCUUUUGGUGGAAAGGUUUACUGGUGCAGGAUGGGCCCGCGGCCUAUCAGCUUGUUGGUGGGGUAAUGGCCUACCAAGGCGACGACGGGUAGCCGACCUGAGAGGGUGACCGGCCACACUGGGACUGAGACACGGCCCAGACUCCUACGGGAGGCAGCAGUGGGGAAUAUUGCACAAUGGGCGAAAGCCUGAUGCAGCGACGCCGCGUGAGGGAUGAAGGCCUUCGGGUUGUAAACCUCUUUCAGCAGGGACGAAGCGAAAGUGACGGUACCUGCAGAAGAAGCACCGGCUA